rnacentral:tRNA from 1 species
GGGGGCGUAGUUCAGUUGGUUAGAACGCUGGCCUGUCACGUCAGAGGUCGAGGGUUCGAGUCCCUUCGUCCCCG